rnacentral:lncRNA from 1 species
UUUAAGGGCAGAAGUUCAACCUUGCAUUCCUGGACAUCUUAAUGAGGAGCUUUCAGCUAACUUUAAAGAAGAUGAGUUGUGGGAAGCCUUAAAAACAAUGGCUCCUUUAAAAGCGUCAGGUAUGGAUGGGUUCCCUACUCUCUUUUUUCAAAAAUAUUUGCAUAUUAUAGGGAAGGAUGUAGCUAGAUUUUGUUUGGAAAUUUUGAACAAUGAGAAAGAGCCAAGCACUAUUAACAAUACAAACAUAGUUCUAAUCCCUAAAGUCAAUAAUCCAAAAAAGUGAGCCAAUUUAGGCCAAUCAGCCUUUGCAAUGUAGCAUAUAAAAUAAUCUCGAAAACUAUCGUCAAUAUAGAAAGGCUCAUAGCUACUGCAUUGAAGAAACACAAGGUGCUUUUGCCUAAGUAAACAGAUUACUGAUAACAUAUUAGUGGCAUACGAAUUGUUGCAUUCCUUUAAGAAGAAACAAUAUGGGAUUGGAAAUUUUGCCCUAAAACUAGACAUGAGCAAAUCAUACAAUAGGGUAGAGUGGACUUUCGUUGAAAACAUGAUGAGAAGGCUUGGUUUUUGUGAGAAGUGGGUUUCUUUAAUCAUUCGUUGCAUUAAAAGUGUCUCAUAUUCUAUUGUGUUUAAUGGUGGGAAAGGGAUUGAAUUCAAACCUUCUUGAGGAAUAAGGCAAAGAGACCUCUUAAGCCCAUAUCUUUUCAUCAUUUGCGCGGAGGGGUUCUGAAGACUUCUAAAUAAUGCACGAAGGGAAGGAAGAAUAAAAGGAGCAAGAAUUGAGAGAGGUGGUUUAUCAAUAACCCACUUAUUUUUUGUUGAUGAUAGCAUCUUAUUUGGAAAAGAAACAGUGGAGGGAGCAUUAGCCAUCAGGUCAAUGGUCAAUGAAUACGAAAAGAUAUCAAGUCAGAUGGUAAAUUUCAAGAAGUCAUUAAUUUAUUUUAGUAAGAAUGUUAACGAUGCGGUCAAAAGGUAGAUAGGGAGUGAUUUGAGGGUUCGAAUAACCAACAACCCAGAAAAAUACCUUGGACUUCCAACGAUGGUGGGAAGGAGGAAGAGAAGCGCCUUCGUUGAAAUUAAAGAAAAAUUCUUAACAAAAGUACAAAAUUUGAGUAUUUGUAAUUUAUCUGUUGGAGGAAAAAAAAAGUUUAUCAAAAAUUUUUUGCAAGCCAUUCCACAUGCUAUGCAAGUUCUCAAAUUACCAGUUUUAUUAUGUCGAGAGUUAGAGAACAUUAUGUGAAAAUUCUGGUGGCAAAAUUUGAAAACAAAUAAGGGUAUUAAUUGGUGUAGUUAGGCAUCAUCAUGUAUCCCUAAAGCGCAAUGGGGGAUUGGUUUUAGAGAUCUAUCGAGUUUUAAUAAAGCCUUGUUGGCAAAACAAAGGUGAAAGCUAAUCACCAACCCCACAAGUUUACUCGCGUAAGUAAUGAAGUCUAAAUACUACCCAAUAAGUGAUUUUCUUAAUGCCGAAUUAGGGGCUUACCCUUCAUUUAUCUGGAGGACCAUAUGGGGCACUCGAAGUGUUCUAGAAUCGAGCAUGAGAUGGAGAAUUGGAGAUGGAAAGUCAAUUAAUAUACGGAAUGAUCCUUGGCUCCCUAGAGAAGAAAAGUUACAGUUUCAAAAUAUUGUUUUACAAGUACACAUUAGUUGCAAAUCUAAUUUACCAUGAAUCUAAUACUUGGAGGGAGGAGACCUUGAGGAGGUUGUUCCCAAAAGAACAAGUUAAAAUAAUUGAGUCCAUUUCCCUAGGGAACUCUUUGCAACCAGAUAUCAAGAUUUGGUGAGGGGACAGACUAGGGGAGUAUAUGGCAGAAAAUGAUUACAAACAAUUUGUUACAGAAGAACUACACCUAUUGGGGAAUGAAAUUACAACAUUUUCGGAAAAUACUAGAAAAUAUUAUAUAAAGGUAUGGAGCUUAAAAGUCCCCAACAAGGUACCGAUUAAUCUAUGGAGAAUUGCAAGCAAUAAGUAAUUUAAAAGCUCGUAGACUAAGGUAUGAUGCCCUGUACCCAUUAUGCAGAGAAGAAGAAGAAUCAAUUAGCCAUUUAUUUAGAGAUUGCACCCUUGCGAAAUGAGUCCUCCAGCAAAUGGCAAUAACAGUGGCACACACAUGUCAAUCAAACAUGGAAACAGUGGUUAGCUGAGGCUUUCAAUAUCAACAAUGCAUACAGUUGUACAUGUCUACCAGUUCCACUAUGGGCAAUAUGGUAUAACAAAAACAAAUACUAUUACGAAGGUAUUUAACAAAGUUCAUACGAGAUUGUGGCUCUUAUUAAAGCAUACAUUACAGAGCUUGCCAUGCUGCAAGAAGCAACAACAUGCAAAUUCAUAUGGAGAAAACAUAGUGGGAACCCUUGACAGAAAGUCAUGUAAAGGUGAAUUUUGAUAUCACGUUUUACGAACAGAGCAACAAAGUAGUUCCGGGAAAAAUUAUCAGGAAUCGUAUGGGGCUAGUUAUGGGUUCAAGUACUUACGCAAUAAAUAAUAUCCAUGACCAGACAACCGCUGAAGCUUAUGCAUGUCUCCAAUGAGUGGUUUUUGAAAGAGAAAUGGGAUUUGACAAAGUUAUCAUUCAAGGCGAUUCAAGGACCGUCAUAAAAAAGCUACAAAAUCUGGAAUAUGAUAGAUUAGUAAUUGGGGGUAUUAUAAACGAUAUACAAGAAAAAACAUGAAACUUCAAACAUUUUGCGUUUCGUUGCGUACCAUGUGAAGCCAACGGGGCGGUGCACAGGUGGCUGCUUGGGGGAAAUGAAACAUCUAUCUGACUUACUAGUUAGAAGAAACGUCGUUGGAGUUUGAGCCCAUAGUUUUAAAAGAACAACGUUGAUUUGUUUAGAGGGAGUAAUAUCGAUGGUGUGGUGAACUGAGUCCGGAGAAAGUAAAGGUGUGAUUAGAGCUCCGAGGAACUCAGAAAAUGGUGGGAUUUGGGGAAAAAGGAUGAAGAUUGAAAUAUUAUGGUUACCAGGUCCAUCGACGAGCAAAGAUUCAGCAACAUAGUGACAGAACGAAAGGGGAAGGGAUAGUUAGGAUUAGGGUUUUUUUCAAUUUUUUUUUAGUAUUAUCUAGAAACAUUUUACUUUCACUACACCAGAACAGAUUUUUAGUGGCGUUUUUUUAGGCCUUUAGCGGUGCUUUUUAACGCCACUAAAGGCCUUUGCGGCGCUUGAAGAAGCACCACAAAAAAUGCCGCUAACGACAACGUCGCUAACUUUUGCGGCGCUUACAGAAAAAAACGCCGCUAAAGAUCAUGUUCUUUAGCGGCGCUUAUUUCACAAACGCCACUAUUUGAUAUGACUUUUAGCGGUGCCUUUUUAAAAAACGCCACUAAUUUUAGGAUUUUUUAAAAAUAAAAUUUUCUGUUUUUUUCAGCCCUCCUGCAACAACAAAUCAAAAGCAACCAGAUCUAAACUAACCAAAAACAAUAAAUUUAUAUAAUAUUUCAAAUUAAAUGACUAAAAUAAUAUUAAUUGAUAUAAAUAAAAGUGAAUUCAUACUUUUCUUUUCAAAAACGUUAAAAGUUAAAAUGAUAAAAAUAUUUAUGCAAUAUACACUAUGACGACGGAAGUUGCGACUGCUGAAACAUCUUCAUCAUAAUCUGAAGCUGCUGUUGAAGUUCGUCGUACUUUUUGCUCUGCUCUGCUUCUCUCGAUGCCGCAUCUUUUUGAAGUCGUAGCUGUAGUUCUUCAUAUUUCUUUUGAACCUCUACUUCUAUCGCUGCUUCUCUAGCUGCUUCUCUUGCUGCGGCCUUUGCUUCUCUCGCUGCGGCCUCUGCUUCUCUCGUUGUAGCCUCUGCUUCCCUCGCUGCCGCAUCUACUUUAAGUUGUUGCUGAAGUUCUUCAUAUUUCCUUUGAACCUAAAAUGUGGUCGCUUACAUCUGAGCCAUCUGGUCUUUUAACCUCUAAACUUUAGCUUGAAAUUGACUCCCCGAAGCCAUGUAUUGGUGCGAGCUGGAUCCAAAAUAUUGGGUUGGGCUGAUAAAAGAUCCUUGAAAUCAAACUCGACCAUACUUUUGAGGACCCAAAACUUCAGUAAUAAUCCGAUUAUCAAUGUCUUCAAGAUGAACAGAACUAUCACUAGAAGCAAUCGCUUCGUACUCCGUCUUUUUUUCCUUUAGUUUUUCCUAAUAAAUAAAUC